CGGCUUUCCUGCGGGAACUUUCUCACCCAGCCGAGCAGCUCACGGGAGAAAGCUCUUUCCAGAGGAUCUCCAGCGAGUAAACGCAGAAGGAGUGAUGGGAUCCGAAGAUCACCGUUUUGCAAACCUUCAGGAAACGCCAGAGGGGGAGGUCUGGACACCGUGUGGAGACAGCUGUGGGAUGCAUCUGCACACUGAGGAGCCAUGAUGGCUGUGGGACGCCCAGAAGCUGGGGGAGGCCUGGAGCAGCCUCUCCCUUACAGCCUCAGGGGGAAUCAGCCUGCUGUGAGAUAAUAAAUGUCUGUUGUUUAAGCCCCCA
rnacentral:lncRNA from 1 species